rnacentral:rRNA from 1 species
CCUCCGGGUACCCAACUCGCCCCUCUCCGCCGGAGGGGGGCCGGGGGGUUCAAUGUCUCCAGUAGCGUUCUUGCCCCUCCCACCCCUCCCACCUCGUCUCCGGGGUGGUGGUGGUGGUGGUGGUGGUGGGGCCUUAACGGUGCGAAGCGCCUGGAGGUCAAAGUCUAACUUGCAACAACAAACAUGUGUCUGAGAACUCUGGCCUUUUCCCUACAAUGGAAACAAACGUGACCACUCU